rnacentral:rRNA from 1 species
GACGGGGGAUGCAAGUGUUAUCCGGAAUCACUGGGCGUAAAGCGUCUGCAGGUGGUUUCCUAAGUCCACUGUUAAACCUUGAGGCUCAACCUCAAAUCUGCAUUGGAAACUAGGAGACUUGUGUAUAGUAGGGGUAGAGGGAAUUUCCAGUGGAGCGGUGAAAUGCGUAGAUAUUGGAAAGAACACCGAUGGCGAAGGCACUCUACUGGGCUAUUACUGACACUCAGAGACGAAAGCUAGGGGAGCAAAUGGG